rnacentral:rRNA from 1 species
ACGAACGCUGGCGGCGUGCUUAAUACAUGCAAGUCGAACGGAAAGGCCCUGCUUUUGUGGGGUGCUCGAGUGGCGAACGGGUGAGUAACACGUGAGUAACCUGCCCUUGACUUUGGGAUAACUUCAGGAAACUGGGGCUAAUACCGGAUAGGAGCUCCUGCUGCAUGGUGGGGGUUGGAAAGUUUCGGCGGGUGGGGAUGGACUCGCGGCUUAUCAGCUUGUUGGUGGGGUAGUGGCUUACCAAGGCUUUGACGGGUAGCCGGCCUGAGAGGGUGACCGGCCACAUUGGGACUGAGAUACGGCCCAGACUCCUACGGGAGGCAGCAGUGGGGAAUAUUGCACAAUGGGCGGAAGCCUGAUGCAGCAACGCCGCGUGCGGGAUGACGGCCUUCGGGUUGUAAACCGCUUUCGCCUGUGACGAAGCGUGAGUGACGGUAAUGGGUAAAGAAGCACCGGCUAACUACGUG